UACAGAGGUUGCAAGCGUUAUCCGGAAUGAUUGGGCGUAAAGGGUGCGUAGGCGGUCGGGUAAGUCUGAUGUGAAAUCUCACAGCUUAACUGUGAAACUGCAUUGGAUACUAUCCGGCUCGAGGAAUGGAGGGGAGACUGGAAUACUUGGUGUAGCAGUGAAAUGCGUAGAUAUCAAGUGGAACACCAGUGGCGAAGGCGAGUCUCUGGACAACUUCUGACGCUGAGGCACGAAAGCUAGGGGAGCAAACAGG
rnacentral:rRNA from 1 species